GACGGCUCAGAUCACAUCCCGAGAUGUCACCCUGGCCCGGGCCGGUCAGGCCCUUCCACCGCAGGGCUGCCCCAUGGCAGCCAGUGACACCGCUGAGACAACUUUGCCGUGGCCUUACUUUCAUUUCCUUGGUUGUUCAGUUUAUGGCAAAAGACCCUCAGCUGUGUUUUGUUUACUAAUUCCCCUAAGCCUGCCUUAAAUCCAGACUGCCAGGGCCACAGGAAAUCUUUCAGACCCCUGACAGGUACGGUGUCUUCCUUUGGCUUUGGUAUCAAGGUAAUGCUGGCCUCAUAAGUUGUCUCCCUUUAUCCAUGAGGGACAUCUUCCAAGGCCCCCAGUGGAUGUCUGAAACCGCAGCAUACUUUUGUCCAUAAAGCAAAAUCCGAAGAUUAGUGUUAAGAAACAGGAUUUGGAACUCUCAGAACAAGGCCAUUGGGGGUGGAGAUUUCUUACCUAUGGCUUAAAGAGGCUUCCGAGGUGAUCGGGCAGCAUCAGUCUUCAGCUGCUAAGCCGAGAAGAUCUGGGAAGGAGUCAGUCAGAGAGCCGUGGGCCAGAGUUCCAGGGGCUCUGGGAGUGGCUGCCAGGUAAGUUGAACAGUCUGAUUUUCAGUGGGGUCCUGCACAGAUGGGACACGGCUUAGGAGGAAUCCCGGGCUGUGGGCAUUCCUUGGCCUGGUGGCCAGAUUCCGGCACUUGUAGCAAGCUCCUGGGGGUUCUGGAGGAACACUUGGCAGCUGCAGUUCAGGCAUUUGGAGUUCUUGUGUGCUGGAGAUGUGGCUGGGGUUUGUCUCAGUGCAGGCAAGGAAUUGCAAUUUAGAAAUAUGUUGCUACUUGGCUGCCUCUACUCUAAUAUUGUAUACCUUGAAGGUGAGGUUAAUUAAGUCUUGUUGUGAGGUUUGAGGGCCGGAAUUUAAUUUUUGGAGCUUUAUUUAAUGUUGGGAGCAGAUUCAGUAAUAAAAUAAAAUGUAUAUUGAGAAUAAGACGUCCUUUUGACCUUUUAGGGUCUAGGGCUGUAAAGUGUCUCAGGGUUGCUGCUAAUGGGGCCAUGAACUGGGCUGGGUUUUUUAUAGUUGAUGAAAAAGAGCUUAAACACUAACUGAUUUGGGACAGGUCGGAUAAAUAAAAAGGAGCAUUAACAUUGACUAUGCCUUUAGCUCCAGCCACCUUUUUAAGAGGAAAUUGCUGGGCAGGUGGGGGAGGGCUACUCAUGGAACGAAACUAUAAGACAGACCGGGUGUGAGUAGGGGAGGUGAUAAAAAGAUUAUAGGGUGUAGGAGCGGAGGCUGAGGAAGAAUUGGGACCUAGCUCGGCCUGGCGAGGAGGGGAGAGGUCAGAUGGGUCUGUAGAAAAGGAAGAUUAGAAAGAGUCAGCAACGCUUGGGGUUGGGAGUGAGGGGACAGGCGGGAGGGAAAGAAGGAAGAUUU
rnacentral:lncRNA from 1 species